UACGUAGGGGGCUAGCGUUGUCCGGAAUCAUUGGGCGUAAAGAGCUCGUAGGCGGUUUGUCGCGUCUGCCGUGAAGGUCCGGGGCUCAACUCCGGAUCUGCGGUGGGUACGGGCAGACUAGAGUGAUGUAGGGGAGACUGGAAUUCCUGGUGUAGCGGUGAAAUGCGCAGAUAUCAGGAGGAACACCGAUGGCGAAGGCAGGUCUCUGGGCAUUAACUGACGCUGAGGAGCGAAAGCAUGGGGAGCGAACAGG
rnacentral:rRNA from 1 species